AGAAAACACGGUGGUGAGAUUUAGAACCCGGGUAGAGAGAAGAGAGAGAUAGCGCUGAGAGACAGAUAGAGAGGCCGAUUACGAUGGUUCCGCCGGUGUUACAACCUUCUCGCCGGCGUCAAUAACACUUGACAACGACGUUUUGAUCAUUGUGGUGGCCGCGAACAUGGUUUGUAUCGGAGAGCGACGAGGUAUGUUCGAUCAGAUGCUGCCAUACCUCUGACAAUGACGACGGUCAAGCGGUUAGGGUUUCCAUCAACUUCCGGUAACGUCUGGUGAGGUUCCGGUGAACGGCAAGGAGAAGAUUUCAGUGAACGGGUGGAGUUAAGAAUUGAUGGUGGACCAAUGAAGAUUGAUCAGGUUUAGUUGGUAAGAGUGGGUCGAAAUGGAAGUUAUGGAGGAGUUCUUCGGUGGAAAUCGAUUCAGGUUGGAAAGGGUUUAAAGGGAAGUACAGGGGAGUGGGAUCAGAUGGGUCGCAUUCGAGAUAAUAUCCCCUGUGCAGAAAAGGCAACAAGCAUCAGGUUUCUAGGAUCUCCAUGGACUGAUGAUGAAGUUGAGCGCUUCUAUAAAGCUUAUAUGCAGUGUGAAAAAGACUGGAAGAAGGUUUGUGCUUUCUUUGUCCUCUUUUUUUUUGUGGUUAAACUACUCUUUGAGACCCACAAUACACUUGCACAUUUCAGGCUAUGUGCUACAUAGCUGCUUUUACAAUAAGGAAGUAUGAGUCGGUGACAUUAAUUACAAGUUUCUUAAUGUAUCUAAGAUGGAACUAUCGUAGUGUCUCAGUUUGGCUGUUACAGUUGUUCUCCAACAAAACAAGUCUCUUAUGUGGUUUGCACAGGUGGUUUGGUUCGGUUUUGAGCCCCAAUCGAUCCACAACUGACACCGAAUCCUUGAUGUAUUACUUGAACCAUGAACUUGGGUACUUCAUAAGCUAUUUUAGAUAGCCGCUAACAUACUCAUCUUUGCAUGAUCCAAUUAUACGUUACACUUUUAUACAAUAUGAUUCGACACAUAGAGGCUUAGUCUCACCUGUAAUUGUUUAGGUUGUUGGACUACCCAGGCCCCUCUACCCGAGCGUACUUAUGGGGGUUCCACAAGCACGUCGUUAUUUAUGGUUGUGUGUUCAAACAACACCAUUGCCACAUAUAGGGGCUGUUUAUAUUAUUAUAAAAAAAAAGAAUAGAAACUGGAAAAAAAAAAUUUACGGGUCAACCCAACCAAACCAAACCUACCCUUUUAACAUGUCACCAGGCUCACACGUUUUGCCACCUCUUUUCAUUUAAGGGUAGCAGAAAGCCAUCCUUUUUGUGCUACUAAAUGGAUUUUAUGUACAACUAAUAUCUUGGUCAUAUGUUGUUCAGAUGCAUAGAUCUUCAGACUUCAGAACCUGAUUUACUGUAAUUUGUGGAAUACACUAGAAUUAAGGAAAUGACAAACUUCAAAGACUGGCAUAUUUUUUAUAUUAACUGAACCAAUAUUUUUUUUGCUCUGGCCGAGUUGCAUACAUGCAGUAGAAAAAGGUAUAUGUGCUUGUAAGUUGUAUGUUUUCCAUUUCUAUUUUAACUUUGUAAGUUAUAAACUUAUGAUAAAUGAUUCUUCACAAAUUUCACUUGAUGCAAUUUAUGUUUGUAUUCGAACUUUUGGCAGGAGAGUGGGUUAGAGUUUAGAAAAGGUAAAGAGGAAAUUUGUUACCAAGAGGAAACACUUUUCCCAUAUUUUUCUCCUUUCUUCGCUUAUUUCGAGUAACAAGGUUAGGUUUAUAGGGUUUUAUUAUUCUCUUAGAAAUACACAUAAAACUAUUUUAAUAUCUUGAAUAAGGGCGUUAGAAAUUUUUAAAAUUUCCAAUUCGACGAACUGGUGGGUCGACAAGAACCCCAUGUAAUCAGGAUACUAAUUCUCGCAAUGCGCGCCAUAAAGAAGUUUUUUGAUUUGGGAUCCACUAUGAUUUGAAUAUACAAAUUUCAGCAAAUAACCAACUUUUAUCUAAAAUAUUUGUUAGAUGUUAGGAGUCGAUUAUUUGGUGUUAAAUUUAGAAGGUUUUGUUAAUUUUUGCAGUAUUUUGAGCUUUCUUGAUUCUCCAUUUGAAGAGAGCUAAGGAUUUGCACAGUUUGUGAGUUGAUUAAAUUGAGCAGUGACUAGUGACUGACUGGGGUUUUUGUUGAUUAUGAUUAGAAGAAUUGCCGUAUGGAGAGGCGAGAUUGAAUAGCUGAACUAACAUGGCGGAGUAAGAAGAUGCCAUACAGUUAAUGGUGCGCAAAUCAUAAACAGAAUAGGCGCAACAGGUUCUUCAUCAGCCCAGCUGCAGCAGGAGAAAACCUUGAGACCGUUUUUUUCGUUUAAAUGAUAAAUUGUAUGUGAAAACCAAAAUUGGUUAACGUUUGAUUAUUGUAUAUUAUAUAACAGUUAUUGAAUACUUUGUUGUUUUAUAUGUGUGGUGCUCCUGAAUAACUUUUGUUGGACGCCU
rnacentral:lncRNA from 1 species